ACACAAUCCAUAAAUACAGUAGGGGCUCCAUUAAGGAGAAGGAUAAUACAACUGGAAUAACUAUAGAGGGAGAAGAGAAGAAGGAACUAUAAUAUACAGCUUCAGAAGGACAGAAGUUUAAACUGAGUUUUAAGAUCAGACAAGGAAGAAUUGCCUCCUGGUGUGAGUUACAAAGGAGAACAAAAAUACAAAGUGCGUGGUACAAAUAGCAACAUGGAUUGCAAAAGAGAUGAAAGUCAAAGCAGGAAAGCUGUGAUGAAGAGAGAUUGUGGGAGGAUUUCGGUAUCAUGUUAAGUCCUUUGGCUUUUAUUUUGUGGCAAUAAAAAGCCAUCACAGGUAGCAACAGCAGCACCACCAAACUCCUUCCCUGGGAACCACACUGUUUCUCAGCGUCAAGCGGCCACAGCUCUGAACUGUGUCUCUGAGCAUCUGUGCUUCAACUCCAUUUAUUUUGUGCAUCCAUUAGCAAGAUAUGUCUUAAGUUUUUUGGCCCCAAGGCAUGUCGGGAUCUUAGCUCCCCAACCAGGGGUCAAACCUGCACCCCCAGCAUUGGAAGAGAAGGACACCCGGGACCUCCUGCCCUACCUAGGACAGCCAUCAUCUGAUGGAAAGGAAGAAAAACACAGUGUCAAAGCUUUGGCCACUUCUCUGUGCUGCUACGAAGAAAAAGCUUUGUGACGGGCCCUGAUUUCUUGUGCAGAGCCCGCAGCCCCCGUCUGAUCCAGGCUACAGAAACAUAGCCCCUGAUCUCAAGGAAGGACCACUUUUCAGAGCCCAGUCCCACCAGCCCCACGGCACACCCCCACUCCCCCCCUCCACCAUGGGGCCGGCGCCAGACUUUACCUUCGAUCACAUUCUUCCCGGUUCCAUCCCUCCUCGACCCUCCUUCCCUCGGUCUCUGACAGCUUUCUCCCGAAGGGCUGACCCUCCACAGAUCACGGGAACCCCAUCCCUGCCUCAAGCUCUGCCUCUAGGGAGCCUGUCCUAAGACAGAUAAUCUGGCUUGAGGAAAAAUGAUUUUAUUUCCUGAACAAGUUCCUGGCCUCCUGUAGUAGAUGAUCAGCAGGGACCCAGGGCUCCCAUGGCGGGGCUUCCAUAGGACUCUCCAGGCUGGCUGGCACUGUAUCCGGAUCUCACUGUAUCUGAGAACCGGUGUUUAUCUUUGCAUCUGUGCAUCUGAAUGUCUCCAUGCCUGUGGAGGGCUGUGGCUGGCCCCCUAGCUACCUGCUGCUGGUGAAGACAGAUCGUCCUUCUGUCUUGCUCACUUGGAGGCCCUGGCGUUGAAUGCCAAAGGCCGGGCUGCAGGGUUUGGCAGAAACCCCAUCAGGGUAGCAGCCUAAAAUGAGCAACACCCG